AAGAAAGUGGCAGAGGGGCUAUGUGAUUGGCUUGAAACCAACUUACGGGGGUUCGAAUCCUUCCUUUCUCG
rnacentral:tRNA from 1 species